AAAUUGUGUGUGUGUGUGUGUGAGUGAGUUUGGUCAUUACGGGAUUCAUUGGAAUUUAAAACAAUAAUUUUCUAAACCAUCUAAUGCCAUACAAUUCCAUAACCUCUACGGAUUCCAUAGGAUUGAAUGGGAUUGAAAAUUUCUUUUUUGGAUUCCAUGGGAUUAGAUCAUCUCAUUUCGAAUCCCAUCUAAUUCCAUCUAAUUCCGUCAAAAAAGGAAUUCAAAGGUAUUAAAAAUUUUUAAUACCUUUGAAUCCUUUUUCGUUUGCUGGGAAUAUAACAGACGUUACACUCUAUUUAUAUUAUAGUUACGAAACUUUACUACAUAUAUGUGAUGUAACAAAGUUAUGAAGCUAUAAUAUUACUUCGUUAUUUGUAUGUUACAAUAACCGGACAGUGAUGUAACCACAAUGUUGCGUGGUUACACAACAAUUGUUUUACUUAUGUUAUAUGGAUAUUAUAAAAUUUGAAUCUUGUGAGACUCUAACCUCAAUCGCACAACGUACAUCUCGUGCAUUAGGCGCGCUUUCCCCUAGUGGAUGCUAUAAUGACGAAAGAGAGACGUUGUUUUCUUGCAACUUGACUUUAAUCAGGAUUCUGCCAAUUAUUCUUACAUCAUUCGGACAACUGUUCUUCUUAAAAUUUAAAAGAACGUAAAGAAUAACUGAAGUUUAUAAAAGCUGAAGAAAUUUUCACAAGGAUUAGAACAGAAAACUGAACUCAAAUGGAAGCGCUUGCACUCAUGUCACUAUCAUGUCCUGACAAUUUCGGAUUUUAUAAAACUAUAGGAGACGUGAUUGACGUUGAGAUUGUGAUUGACAGCUGGAGCAAAGCUAUAAUUUAGUUCAACAUUACGUGAAGUUUAUUUAAUGUUUUUCUCUUAUUUUCCCUCG